GUUGAAAGGGCCUUAGUGGUUCACGCUUCAACGAAACUGCAGUCUGUUAAGAAUGUUCUGUUAUGGUUUACAUGGUCAGAACAAAAUUUGCAGUAAAACACCUUUUUCAUACCUGUGCUCCCACAACGUAAGAAAAUAUCUUUGAAAAGGAGACAUUCCCGGUUUAUCAUGACUGCAUGCACAGUCCACUGCGAUUACGUGUAUGUACGAGCCCAGAUUAGCCAGCUCCUCCUGUUAAUAAAAUGCGCAUUACCGGAUGCGAAAGCUUCAUUAAGAAGCACGACAGUGCGACGACAUCAAAAGUGUACGAGAGCACUCCAUUUUUCCUAGUUCACUCGUAGUCAUAACUGUUCAUAUCAGCACUAAACAUCGUUUUUAAAGCUGAGUAGCCUAAUCUGUAAAAAUACUCCAUCUAUUUGACAGACAACCAUUUGUUUGCUAAAAGGACAUGUCUGCAAAAGACGCAAACUUGUAACCUUCAUGAGGAGUUUUAGAUCUUGUGCACCCAAAGUUGGGGUAAGCAAACUGCCGAGCAUACAAAAGAAUGCAAAAUAAGUACAAAAGAACAAGCAGGGCAUAGGGCUUUGGGUACGCAAAGACACUUCUGUGUGUUACUUUUAAAACCACCUAAUGGUACUGCAAGUUAGGCUGAUAUUGCAAUGUUAGAGAAUUCUUUUUCAGGUGUACCACGCCACACUUCGCUUUGUAUGUGCAAUAUGCUGGCUUAUGCAGUCAAUAGUUAGCAUACGUCUAUUCCC
rnacentral:lncRNA from 1 species